rnacentral:rRNA from 1 species
GAUGAACGCUGGCGGCGUGCCUAAUACAUGCAAGUCGAGCGAACAGACGAGGAUCUUGCUCCUCUGACGUUAGCGGCGGACGGGUGAGUAACACGUGGAUAACCUACCUAUAAGACUGGGAUAACUUCGGGAAACCGGAGCUAAUACCGGAUAAUAUAUUGAACCGCAUGGUUCAAUAGUGAAAGACGGCUUUGCUGUCACUGAUAGAUGGAUCCGCGCCGCAUUAGCUAGUUGGUAAGGUAACGGCUUACCAAGGCAACGAUGCGUAGCCGACGUGAGAGAAGGAUCGUCCACACUGGAACUGGGACACGGUCAAGACUCCUACGAGAUGCAGCAGUAGGGAAUCUGCCGCAAUGGGCGAAAGCUUGACGGAGCAACGCGGAGUGAGUUGUGAAGGUCUUCGGAUCGUAAAACUCUGUUAUUGGGGAAGAACAAAUGUGUAAGUAACUAUGCACGUCUUGACGGUACCUGAUCAGAAAGCAACGGCUAACUACGUG